CCGCCGGCGACCGGCGCACGGGUGAGUAACACGUAUGCAACCUGGCCGUGACAGAUGGGAUAACCCGGGAGAAAUCCCGCCUAAUACAACAUAAUGCCGGGAGGGGACAUCCCCUGCCGGCCAAAGGGGCGACCCCGGUCACGGAUGGGCAUGCGGCGCAUUAGGUAGUUGGUGGGGCAACGGCCCACCAAGCCGACGAUGCGUAGGGGUUCUGAGAGGAAGGUCCCCCACAUUGGAACUGAGACACGGUCCAAACUUCUACGGGAGGCAGCAG
rnacentral:rRNA from 1 species